UGUAACUAUUCAUAGCCCGGUGGU
rnacentral:siRNA from 1 species